UACGUAGGGUGCAAGCGUUAAUCGGAAUUACUGGGCGUAAAGCGUGCGCAGGCGGCUUUGCAAGACAGAUGUGAAAUCCCCGGGCUCAACCUGGGAACUGCAUUUGUGACUGCAUGGCUAGAGUGCGGCAGAGGGGGAUGGAAUUCCGCGUGUAGCAGUGAAAUGCGUAGAUAUGCGGAGGAACACCGAUGGCGAGGGCAAUCCCCUGGGCCUGCACUGACGCUCAUGCACGAAAGCGUGGGGAGCAAACAGG
rnacentral:rRNA from 1 species